UCAUGCGCACAAGAUCAACUCAAAUUGCGGAAAGAUGUGUUGUUUCAUGUUGAUCUGCAAGAGUGGCUUUGGAACGACUCAAAGGCUUUGUACAUGCCUUAAACCUUCUGCACUGCUCUAUUUUAAUGUUCGUCAUGAUGGUGGUACUUUGAGAUUCGUAUUUUUUGGGCGUGGAAUACGUUUGAGAAAACACUUUUCUAAUCUAUCUAUGCAGAAUUGGCAUUGGUGUGAUAAACAACCAAAACAGAACUCAGUUUGUAGUUCGGGGAUUUUUUUUAUCGAGUUUUGGAUGAUGCAGUCUUCCAAGUAAAUUUAAUACAAAUAUACAGUUGGUUGAUUAAAUCUCACUAUGUUAGCGAUAACUCCAAGUGUGAGCAAAGGAAAAAAAGUAUUUCUUUUCUAUUU